rnacentral:rRNA from 1 species
UACAGAGGGUGCGAGCGUUAAUCGGAAUUACUGGGCGUAAAGCGCACGUAGGUGGCGACGUAAGUCGGGUGUGAAAGCCCCGGGCUCAACCUGGGAAUUGCAUUCGAGACUGUGUCGCUGGAGUACGGAAGAGGAAGGCGGAAUUCCCGGUGUAGCGGUGAAAUGCGUAGAUAUCAGGAAGAACACCGGUGGCGAAGGCGGCUCUCUGGGCCUUACCUGACGCUGAGGAGCGAAAGCGUGGGUAGCGAACAGG